CGCCGGCCGCACGCUCCCGCCACAGCGACCCCUGGAGGCGCGGCGGGAUGGCGGCAGGCGCUCCCCGCCCGCCGCGCAGGGAGGGAGUGGCGGCCCGGGCCGGGAGCCCUCGGGUGACGGGUUCGAGCCCCGGCGGAGCGCCCACCCGCCAGGGGUUGGCACCUGCGGGGCUCGGCCAGGCCAGGAAUUUCCAUGGUGUGAAGGAUUUCCCCGUGGGUGCAGACUGGGCAUGAAAGGUCCUCUGGAGGUAAUUUGGUCCUAUCUCCAUUCCAAGUGAGGCCAUGUAGAUGAGGUCGUUCUCUGAUGUUCCUUCCCUGAGAGAUUGCCCAUGGUGAAAGUAAAACCUUCAAGUUUAGAUUAGGAAAGCAGUUUUUAAGCUUCUUGUGAGCUCAGAUUGACCUCUCCUGAAUAAUUUGUCUUCCCAAGAUUUUUCUGAGUGCAGCAGUUCUGCCCAGACUAGGGAACAGCUUAAAAUUCUGCUGAUAGCAACAACUCAAAUUCCUCCAAGGUGAGGGAGUGAGAAUUGAUCAGAGUUUACUUGUUUGAUGUGUGAAGAUCCUUUUCUUUGCCUUGGAAGAACUGCACAGCAGUGAGCAGUUACAUGAGCUUGCAUAAGUACUUGCAGCCAGUUCCCAUGCCCAUAUCCUGAAGGAAAUGAGCAGUGUCUAGUAAGUAGAUCAAUUAUGAUUCUUUAUUUUGUUUUUUACUAUAGAUCUCUUUUCCUUGCAGAAAUUUGCUUAACUUUAUGGUUCAUGCUUAUAAGUUAAGAAGGAAAAUAUUUUUUCUCUCUUACAUGUUUUAGACUCCUGGUGAUUCUGUGUGAAUCCUUCUCAUUGGGAAGGAUACCCUGAACUGUCUUUGGUCUAGCAUAAGAUAAAUAGAAGAAAGAGACAACUGGUUAACAAGCUGCUGGUUAACAAGGCAUUGCAACACAGGCAUCGCAAAAUUAAGUUUUCUAUUGCUUUUCUUUGUAAUUUUCCUGCUGGUUGAUGUAGCAGCAUUACCUCUAGCAGUACUUGUUCUCUCUUUAGCCUCUGUAUUGAUAUUUCUCCCAAUAAGUGAGGAAUCUAUUUUUACAAGCAUCUUGUGACAACCGGCUCAAGUGACAUAAGCCACUGAACAGCUAUUGAACAAAUCCAGGCUAGAUUCAGAAUAGGAAAUUAGAGGGUGAAGUCUCCACAUGCAAAUAGCAGCAACAGAUUCAUCUGGACCAAAUUUUUGUCCUUCAGCUUC
rnacentral:lncRNA from 1 species